GCCUCAGUAGUGCAAUCGGUCAACACGCGCUACCUAACAAGGUGAAAUGCGGGUGCGAUUCUCGUCUGAGGUU